rnacentral:rRNA from 1 species
AUUGAACGCUGGCGGCAUGCUUUACACAUGCAAGUCGAACGGUAACAGGCCUUCGGGUGCUGACGAGUGGCGAACGGGUGAGUAAUGCAUCGGAACGUGCCCAAUCGUGGGGGAUAACGUAGCGAAAGUUACGCUAAUACCGCAUACGAUCUAUGGAUGAAAGCGGGGGAUCGCAAGACCUCGCGCGAUUGGAGCGGCCGAUAUCAGAUUAGGUAGUUGGUGGGGUAAAAGCCUACCAAGACCUUCGAUCUGUAGCUGGUCUGAGAGGACGACCAGCCACACUGGAACUGAGACACGGUCCAGACUCCUACGGGAGGCAGCAGUGGGGGAAUUUUGGACAAUGGGCGCAAGCCUGAUCCAGCAAUGCCGCGUGCAGGA